UACAGAGGGUGCAAGCGUUGUUCGGAAUUAUUGGGCGUAAAGGGCGCGUAGGCGGUGCGGUAAGUCUUUUGUGAAAUCUCCGGGCUCAACUCGGAGUCUGCAGGAGAAACUGCCGUGCUUGAGUAUGGGAGAGGUGAGUGGAAUUCCUGGUGUAGCGGUGAAACGCGUAGAUAUCAGGAGGAACACCUGUGGCGAAAGCGGCUCACUGGACCAUUACUGACGCUGAGGCGCGAAAGCUAGGGGAGCAAACAGG
rnacentral:rRNA from 1 species